CUCCUCCAUUUGCGGAAUGAGCACCAGUUGGCCACUGGUGGUCCUUCAGUCCAAGCAACAGCAACUAUCUUUAGACCACCCUGGAGAACAGGCAAUUCAUGCUGCUCACAUCAGAGAACUACUGCUUCCAGCUUCCUGCAACUGGAUAUAUCUCUCUGCGUCAGGAGAGCUCACAGCGUAGCAUGAAGGACUCCCCGGUGGGCUUCUAGCGCGAGGCGAAGGCGGCAGAGAGCGAGUGAGCCACCAAGAGCGCGCUUCCUAUUUUGCGCUCCCUCUUCCACAUAGAUCUCGGCUAAAGCAAGUCUCAGAAGAUCUUGGUAAUGGUUUUAUCUACUUAUUCUUCUCCUGAUGAGCAAGGACGGGCAGGCCAGCCACAUCAGAUGCCCCGUGAAAACAUCGAAACAACGCAGUGCCCUGUGAUUUCUUGCUCCGGAGCUCACAGCAGCCAGUAGGUAAUGCUAGGUCUGCUGAUUACUGGUGUCCUUUAUUGAGAGUUUUGCUUGAAGCGCAUAAACUUUAUUCACACGUAAAAAGCCUUCAGUUUGAAUCUGUGCUGUCCGUCUCUCGGUGGGAUGUGAAAUCGGAAUCACUUCUUCAGAGUUUAAGAAGAUGUGAAAAAAGUUCAACACUGUCACCACUGAAGAACUCAAAAUGUGUGAAGAUGUUUGUCAUAACACAUGAACAUGAGGUCUGCAUCUUACAGUCUUACCCCUGGCAAAAAAUUUCCACUUCAGACCCAGUGAAGAGAAUGGGAUUUCUGCCUAAAUAAGGAUUUAAGGCUCUGAGUAUAAAUGUAAAGGGUUUUUAAGGCCCUCGUUCAACAAAAAAAAAUCUGAAGGCUUAUUGAGAAUAAAAAGCAGAAGAUUUUCUGGCAUGAAAAUGAGCAUUAAUAUUUGCUUCUUAAUUAAUAAUGGUGAACUUAGCACAAGUGUGAAUUAGGUAGUAGCCUGAGUCUUCAGCUGAUACUGUACCAAAGAAACAUGUGUUUGAAAGUGAGGUUAAUAUUUCUCUCCCAAGGAGACAUGCAACAUUGAGAAAAAUAAAUAAUCCCAGCAAGCAUAUUAAUGUGGUUAAAAUAAACUGAGGAAUAAAGAUUAAUUCUGUUGCCCAAACCUAUAUUAAUCUUUGUGGUGUCCAGAAGCUUAAAAAAUAAUUUUUGUAAGAUAAAAAGGUUACAGUGACAAACAUGGCAACGCAACGUAAUUCAAAUCUGCAAAAAGAACAUUGCAUUCAGAAACCAAUCAGAUAUGAUGAGUUUUUUGGAUGGCUUGCUCACAUGCAUGUAAAUGACUUUCAGAAGUAGUUUAUUUUAUUCAUAUGGAUAGAGAUUGUAAGACUGGAUUAACAAUUUCCUCUGA